GAACCUACAAAAGUCUUGCAUCAAAUUACCCAGCUAGGUUCAUAAAAUUUAGUAUUAGCCAAGUCUUUUAUUUGUUUAUUCAGAAGAUGUUACAUAGCUGAUGUACCAAACCGCGUUUUCACAGCAAACAAAAAGUCGUCAAAGUUUAAAUAACAUUUUCUUUUGUUUUAUCCACUAUACGUUUGAUUUUGUCUGCUUCAAUUUUUAUAUAUGUACACCACUCUGGUCGACUCGGGAGAUAGAAGAACAACGAAAAUGAAGAAAACAACAACACAAGCUUUUCUUCUUCUAUGCUUGCUUCAUAUAUUUCUAUGUCUAUCAUUUCAGGCUCGUGUCCACGAAGGUAGACAUGAGAUAUGCGUAAGACCCUCCCCACCAUGUGGAGAUUCUCCUAAGGGAGGAAGUGAAGAUCCGGGACAUACGUAUAAAAAGCCUUGCAAACCCAUUCCAAGACCACCCCCUCCUGGAGAUUGCUAGCAGCCUAGCAACGUUGAACUUCCACGGCCUCUCCUUGAAUAAGUUAAUAAUGUAAUUAUGUGAAUAAUUUGAUAUAUUUCUUACUCUUUACACUUUGAUCCAGCAAUAACUAACGAUGUAGAAUUUAUUGAGAUGGAAUAUAUUGUGUGUCGUGACUCGUUUGGAAGAUUGACGAAGGAUAUAUUUAGUGCAGACGUUAACAUGUAACCACACUUUGCACUCUGGAUCUUAUAUGGUCCUCUCGCUUCGAUAUUUUCUGAACUAAGUACGUAGACGUAUACCCGAGUGAUCCGCAAAAUCAAAAUGACUUGUUUCUUUAUUUUAAGUAAUACCAUCGUAUUUAUAAUUAUACACAUAGAUCUCAUUACCUUUGUUUGUAACCAGUGCCGGCUUAGCACAUGUGUUAGGGGUGCUUGAGCACAGAAUCCAAGGGUUCUAUGUUUACGUAUUUUCUUUUUGCAUCGUAUCAACGUAUCUAAUCAAUGUUUGAGCCGGACCUUUUUGUAACAAUUUAUAAGUUUCUCGAAAAUUUGCAUCACAAGUAGACUAAUUCAUUUUAGUUAAGUCAUAUCUUUGUUUAUUGAGAAGAUGUUACAUUACAUAUCGUUGAUGUAGAAAACCGCGUUUUCACAGCAAACAAAAGAAGUCGUCAAAGUUUGACUUCUUAUUUAUCUAUUCACCCAACGUUUGAUUUUGUCAUGCUUCAAUUUUUAUAUAUACAUGUACACUACUUGUAGACAUGGGAGCUAGGGAGAAGAACAAUAUAUGAUCAUGAAGAAAACAACAACACAAACUUUUCUUCUUCUGUGUUUGCUAUGUCUAUCCUUUCAGGUUCGUGUCCACCAAGCAGCUGAGCCUGCGAUAUGCGUAAAUCCCUCCCCACCAUGUGGAGGUUCUCCUAGAAGUGAAGCUACGAAUGAUGAAAAGCCUUGUAAAACCAUUUCAAGACCACCUCCUCCUCGAGAUUGCUAACAACAUUGAGCUUUCAAAAGAAGCCCACCACAGAUAUAAUAACAUCAAUGUUUUGUUUAUUAACCAUAUCUUCCAAGACUAAUUUGUUUGCAAGCUGUGCAAACGAUAUCACUUAACUUAUGCCUUAUCAUCAUUUCUUUCCAAAAUUUAUGUAUAUUGGUCCCAAAAAAAAAGAGAGAUAAUACUUAGUUAAUAACGAUAUAUGUUACUACAUAUAUCGCUUCUUGUAAAAUUCAUGCACCUAUAUGAUUGAUUUAAACAAUUAAAAACCAUAUAAGCCUCAUCAUCAUAACAUAUAAUUUGUC